UACGUAGGGUGCGAGCGUUAAUCGGAAUUACUGGGCGUAAAGCGUGCGCAGGCGGCUCUGCAAGUCGAGUGUGAAAUCCCCGAGCUUAACUUGGGAAUUGCGCUCGAAACUACGGAGCUGGAGUGUGGCAGAGGAAGGUGGAAUUCCACGUGUAGCGGUGAAAUGCGUAGAGAUGUGGAGGAACACCGAUGGCGAAGGCAGCCUUCUGGGCCAACACUGACGCUCAUGCACGAAAGCGUGGGGAGCAAACAGG
rnacentral:rRNA from 1 species